AGGAGUCGUAUGCACACCCCUUUGACCAGAUCUACUACACGCGGUGCACGGACAUCCUCAACUGGUUCAAGUGCACCCGGCACCGGAUCAGUUACAAGACAGCGUAUCGGCGAGGCCUGCGCACCAUGUACCGACGCAGGUCCCAGUGCUGCCCCGGCUACUACGAGAGCGGAGACUUCUGCAUCCCCCUGUGUACGGAAGAGUGCAUGCACGGCCGCUGCGUCUCCCCGGACACCUGCCACUGCGAGCCCGGCUGGGGAGGGCCCG